rnacentral:misc_RNA from 1 species
CAGAACGAGGAGCGAGAAGGUUGGUAUAAGGGACUUGGGUACGAGAAUAUGUUUCUGCAGGGGAGGAUGUGGGCUGGGACUGUUAAAGUUCGGUUCGAUGCUAAAGGGACAGAGUAUAAGGGUUCUGUUUAUGAUGCUGGACCUACAUUUGAGUCCUAUGGAGUCCCUCAUGGGUCUGCUGAUUUAAUGCAGGUGGUUCCUGAUGAGCACAAGAAGUUUCUGGCUGAUAUGGUUUGGGUCCAUGAAGAGGAAAAUGUAUGCAUACAGAAUGAAGGAGGAGUUAAACCCUGUAAAUUGAUUGCUGUGCAUGCUGGUUUAGAGAAAGGGAUGGGAAAAAUAUUGAAGAACAGCUGAAACUUUUGAAGGCCAAGGACACCAGAGUGCCUAAGGUAGAGGCUCUUAGUGGGAGGAAAAAUGUGUGGGAUAUCCC